rnacentral:rRNA from 1 species
AUACGUAGGGGGCUAGCGUUAUCCGGAAUUACUGGGCGUAAAGGGUGCGUAGGUGGUUUCUUAAGUCAGAAGUGAAAGGCUACGGCUCAACCGUAGUAAGCUUUUGAAACUAAGAGACUUGAGUGCAGGAGAGGAGAGUAGAAUUCCUAGUGUAGCGGUGAAAUGCGUAGAUAUUAGGAGGAAUACCAGUUGCGAAGGCGGCUCUCUGGACUGUAACUGACACUGAGGCACGAAAGCGUGGGGAGCAAACAGGAUUAGAUACCCUGGUAGUCCACGCCGUAAACGAUGAGUACUAGCUGUCGGGGGUUACCCCCCUCGGUGGCGCAGCUAACGCAUUAAGUACUCCGCCUGGGAAGUACGCUCGCAAGAGUGAAACUCAAAGGAAUGGACGGGG